GCCCAGGUGGUGAAAUUGGUAUACACGCUAGGUUAAGGACCUAGUACCGUGAGGUGUGGAGGUUCAAGUCCUCUCCUGGGCACCA
rnacentral:tRNA from 1 species